rnacentral:rRNA from 2 species
UGGGGAAUAUUGGGCAAUGGGCGAAAGCCUGACCCAGCAACGCCGCGUGAAGGAAGAAGGUCUUCGGAUUGUAAACUUCUUUUAUAAGGGACGAAUUUUGACUGUACCUUAUGAAUAAGCCACGGCUAACUAAGUGCCAGCAGCCGCGGUAAUACGUAGGUGGCAAGCGUUAUCCGGAUUUACUGGGUGUAAAGGGUGAGUAGGCGGGUAGACAAGUCAGAUGUGAAAUGCAGGAGCUUAACUCCUGAACUGCAUUUGAAACUGUAUAUCUUGAGUGUCGGAGAGGUAAUUGGAAUUCCCAGUGUAGCGGUGAAAUGCGUAGAGAUUGGGAGGAACACCAGUGGCGAAGGCGGAUUACUGGACGACAACUGACGCUGAGGCACGAAAGUGUGGGGAGCAAACAGG